AACGAACGCUGGCGGCAUGCCUAACACAUGCAAGUCGAACGAGACCUUCGGGUCUAGUGGCGCACGGGUGCGUAACGCGUGGGAACCUGCCCUUAGGUUCGGAAUAACUCCCCGAAAGGGGUGCUAAUACCGGAUAAUGUCUUCGGACCAAAGAUUUAUCGCCUUUGGAUGGGCCCGCGUUGGAUUAGCUAGUUGGUAGGGUAAAAGCCUACCAAGGCGUCGAUCCAUAGCUGGUCUGAGAGGAUGAUCAGCCACACUGGGACUGAGACACGGCCCAGACUCCUACGGGAGGCAGCAGUGGGGAAUAUUGGACAAUGGGCGAAAGCAUGAUCCAGCAAUGCCGCGUGAGUGAUGAAGGCCUUAGGGUUGUAAAGCUCUUUUACCCGGGAUGAUAAUGACAGUACCGGGAGAAUAAGCUCCGGCUAACUCCGUG
rnacentral:rRNA from 1 species